UUUCUUUUGCAGGAGCGAAAGAGACAAUACAUAGAUUCUUCAUUUCACCAAGAAAUCUGUCCGCAGGUUCUGACGAGCAAUUCGUCUUCAUUGCUGGCGAGAACUACAUGCAGGUGAUUUUGAGGAGGUUUGGCAAGGGGCGGUACCACUUCGGUCGGGACGUCUUCUUUCCUGCUUACGUGGGUUUAGCUUGUCAGUCGGGAUCGCCAAUCGCACAUGUCUUCACACAAAGGAUACUCAAUAUGCAGGCAUCCGGGCUCGUCAGUCAUUGGAUUGACAUCUCGCUCAAGGGAAUCCCACGGGACCCAGCGGUAACAGCUGCGGAAGAAGAAGGGAAAAGCUUCGCAAUCACACUCACCCACCUUCAGGCUGGUUUCUACCUGGCCUUCCUGGGGCUGUCAGUCGCCACUGUGGUGUUUCUCCUAGAAUUAGUCAUAUUCUACCUCAGAGGAAAUAAAUUUCAACAGGCUGACUAAACCACCUUCAAGCUAAGUUUCGACGGUCACACUUUUGGCAGACAGACUUGAUCCAUAUGCUCUCAUCAGUACCUCCUUUAUAACACGCCAGUUCGCUUAAAAUGUGGGGGAUGAGUGCAUUUGAAAG